rnacentral:rRNA from 1 species
AAAAAAGGUAAGCUACUAAGAGCGAAUGGUGGAUGCCUUGACUGGUAAAGGCGAUGAAGGACGUACUAGACUGCGAUAAGCUACGGGGAGCUGUCAAGAAGCUUUGAUCCGUAGAUUUCCGAAUGGGGCAACCCAAUGUAUAGAGAUAUACAUUACCUAUAUAGGAGCGAACGAGGGGAAUUGAAACAUCUUAGUACCCUCAGGAAAAGAAAUCAAUAGAGAUUGCGUCAGUAGCGGCGAGCGAAAGCGCAAGAGGGCAAACCCAGUGCUUGCACUGGGGGUUGUAGGACUGCAAUGUGCAAGAGGUGAGUUUAGCAGAACAUUCUGGAAAGUAUAGCCAUAGAGGGUGAUAGUCCCGUAUGCGAAAAACAAACCUUAGCUAGCAGUAUCCUGAGUAGGGCGGGACACGAGAAAUCCUGUCUGAAGCUGGGUCGACCACGAUCCAACCCUAAAUACUAAUACCAGAUCGAUAGUGCACAAGUACCGUGAGGGAAAGGUGAAAAGAACUGAGGUGAUCAGAGUGAAAUAGAACCUGAAACCAUUUGCUUACAAUCAUUCAGAGCCCUAUGUAGCAAUACAGGGUGAUGGACUGCCUUUUGCAUAAUGAGCCUGCGAGUUGUGGUGUCUGGCAAGGUUAAGCAAACGCGAAGCCGUAGCGAAAGCAAGUCUGAAUAGGGCGCUUAGUCAGAUGCUGCAGACCCGAAACGAAGUGAUCUAUCCAUGAGCAAGUUGAAGCUAGUGUAAGAACUAGUGGAGGACUGAACCCAUAGGCGUUGAAAAGCCCCGGGAUGACUUGUGGAUAGGGGUGAAAGGCCAAUCAAACUUCGUGAUAGCUGGUUCUCUCCGAAAUAUAUUUAGGUAUAGCGUUGUGUCGUAAUAUAAGGGGGUAGAGCACUGAAUGGGCUAGGGCAUACACCAAUGUACCAAACCCUAUCAAACUCCGAAUACCUUAUAUGUAAUCACAGCAGUCAGGCGGCGAGUGAUAAAAUCCGUCGUCAAGAGGGAAACAACCCAGACUACCAGCUAAGGUCCCUAAAUCUUACUUAAGUGGAAAACGAUGUGAAGUUACUUAAACAACCAGGAGGUUGGCUUAGAAGCAGCCAUCCUUUAAAGAAAGCGUAAUAGCUCACUGGUCUAGUGAUUUUGCGCGGAAAAUAUAACGGGGCUAAAGUAAGUACCGAAGCUGUAGACUUGAUUUUAUCAAGUGGUAGGAGAGCGUUCUAUUUGCGUCGAAGGUAUACCGGUAAGGAGUGCUGGAGCGAAUAGAAGUGAGCAUGCAGGCAUGAGUAGCGAUAAUUAAUGUGAGAAUCAUUAACGCCGUAAACCCAAGGUUUCCUACGCGAUGCUCGUCAUCGUAGGGUUAGUCGGGUCCUAAGUCGAGUCCGAAAGGGGUAGACGAUGGCAAAUUGGUUAAUAUUCCAAUACCAACAUUAGUGUGCGAUGGAAGGACGCUUAGGGCUAAGGGGGCUAGCGGAUGGAAGUGCUAGUCUAAGGUCGUAGGAGGUUAUACAGGCAAAUCCGUAUAACAAUACUCCGAGAACUGAAAGGCUUUUUGAAGUCUUCGGAUGGAUAGAAGAACCCCUGAUGCCGUCGAGCCAAGAAAAGUUUCUAAGUUUAGCUAAUGUUGCCCGUACCGUAAACCGACACAGGUGGGUGGGAUGAGUAUUCUAAGGCGCGUGGAAGAACUCUCUUUAAGGAACUCUGCAAAAUAGCACCGUAUCUUCGGUAUAAGGUGUGGUUCGCUUCGUAUUAGGAUUUACUCCGAAAGCGAAGAAACUUACAACAAAGAGUCCCUCCCGACUGUUUACCAAAAACACAGCACUCUGCUAACUCGUAAGAGGAUGUAUAGGGUGUGACGCCUGCCCGGUGCUCGAAGGUUAAUUGAUGGGGUUAGCAUUAGCGAAGCUCUUGAUCGAAGCCCGAGUAAACGGCGGCCGUAACUAUAACGGUCCUAAGGUAGCGAAAUUCCUUGUCGGUUAAAUACCGACCUGCAUGAAUGGCGUAACGAGAUGGGAGCUGUCUCAAAGAGGGAUCCAGUGAAAUUGUAGUGGAGGUGAAAAUUCCUCCUACCCGCGGCAAGACGGAAAGACCCCGUGGACCUUUACUACAGCUUGACACUGCUAUUUGGAUAAGAAUGUGCAGGAUAGGUGGGAGGCUUUGAGUAUAUGACGCCAGUUGUAUAUGAGCCAUUGUUGAGAUACCACUCUUUCUUAUUUGGGUAGCUAACCAGCUUGAGUUAUCCUCAAGUGGGACAAUGUCUGGUGGGUAGUUUGACUGGGGCGGUCGCCUCCCAAAUAAUAACGGAGGCUUACAAAGGUUGGCUCAGAACGGUUGGAAAUCGUUCGUAGAGUAUAAAGGUAUAAGCCAGCUUAACUGCAAGACAUACAAGUCAAGCAGAGACGAAAGUCGGUCUUAGUGAUCCGGUGGUUCUGUGUGGAAGGGCCAUCGCUCAAAGGAUAAAAGGUACCCCGGGGAUAACAGGCUGAUCUCCCCCAAGAGCUCACAUCGACGGGGAGGUUUGGCACCUCGAUGUCGGCUCAUCGCAUCCUGGGGCUGGAGCAGGUCCCAAGGGUAUGGCUGUUCGCCAUUUAAAGCGGUACGCGAGCUGGGUUCAGAACGUCGUGAGACAGUUCGGUCCCUAUCUGCCGUGGGCGUAAGAAGAUUGAAGAGAUUUGACCCUAGUACGAGAGGACCGGGUUGAACAAACCACUGGUGUAGCUGUUGUUCUGCCAAGAGCAUCGCAGCGUAGCUAAGUUUGGAAAGGAUAAACGCUGAAAGCAUCUAAGCGUGAAGCCAACUCUAAGAUGAAUCUUCUCUAAGCUCUCUAGAAGACUACUAGUUUGAUAGGCUGGGUGUGUAAUGGAUGAAAGUCCUUUAGCUGACCAGUACUAAUAGAGCGUUUGGCUUAUCUUUAAUAAAGCAU